rnacentral:rRNA from 1 species
UUAAGCGACUAAGCGUACACGGUGGAUGCCCUGGCAGUCAGAGGCGAUGAAGGACGUGCUAAUCUGCGAAAAGCGUCGGUAAGGUGAUAUGAACCGUUACAGCCGGCGAUGUCCGAAUGGGGAAACCCAGUGUGAUUCGUCACACUAUCGUUAACUGAAUACAUAGGUUAACGAGGCGAACCGGGGGAACUGAAACAUCUAAGUACCCCGAGGAAAAGAAAUCAACCGAGAUUCCCCCAGUAGCGGCGAGCGAACGGGGAGCAGCCCAGAGUCUGAAUCAGCUUGUGUGUUAGUGGAACGGUCUGGAAAGUCCGACGGUACAGGGUGAUAGUCCCGUACACCAAAAUGCACAGGCUGUGAACUCGAAGAGUAGGGCGGGACACGUGGUAUCCUGUCUGAAUAUGGGGGGACCAUCCUCCAAGGCUAAAUACUCCUGACUGACCGAUAGUGAACCAGUACCGUGAGGGAAAGGCGAAAAGAACCCCGGCGAGGGGAGUGAAAAAGAACCUGAAACCGUGUACGUACAAGCAGUGGGAGCACCUUCGGGUGUGACUGCGUACCUUUUGUAUAAUGGGUCAGCGACUUAUAUUCUGUAGCAAGGUUAACCGUAUAGGGGAGCCGCAGGGAAACCGAGUCUUAACUGGGCGUUAAGUUGCAGGGUAUAGACCCGAAACCCGGUGAUCUAGCCAUGGGCAGGUUGAAGGUUGGGUAACACUAACUGGAGGACCGAACCGACUAAUGUUGAAAAAUUAGCGGAUGACUUGUGGCUGGGGGUGAAAGGCCAAUCAAACCGGGAGAUAGCUGGUUCUCCCCGAAAGCUAUUUAGGUAGCGCCUCGUGAAUUCAUCUUCGGGGGUAGAGCACUGUUUCGGCUAGGGGGUCAUCCCGACUUACCAACCCGAUGCAAACUACGAAUACCGAAGAAUGUUAUCACGGGAGACACACGGCGGGUGCUAACGUCCGUCGUGAAGAGGGAAACAACCCAGACCGCCAGCUAAGGUCCCAAAGUCAUGGUUAAGUGGGAAACGAUGUGGGAAGGCACAGACAGCCAGGAUGUUGGCUUAGAAGCAGCCAUCAUUUAAAGAAAGCGUAAUAGCUCACUGGUCGAGUCGGCCUGCGCGGAAGAUGUAACGGGGCUAAACCAUGCACCGAAGCUGCGGCAGCGACACUAUGUGUUGUUGGGUAGGGGAGCGUUCUGUAAGCCUGCGAAGGUGACCUGUGAGGGUUGCUGGAGGUAUCAGAAGUGCGAAUGCUGACAUAAGUAACGAUAAAGCGGGUGAAAAGCCCGCUCGCCGGAAGACCAAGGGUUCCUGUCCAACGUUAAUCGGGGCAGGGUGAGUCGACCCCUAAGGCGAGGCCGAAAGGCGUAGUCGAUGGGAAACAGGUUAAUAUUCCUGUACUUGGUGUUACUGCGAAGGGGGGACGGAGAAGGCUAUGUUAGCCGGGCGACGGUUGUCCCGGUUUAAGCAUGUAGGCUGAUUAUCCAGGCAAAUCCGGAUAAUCAAGGCUGAGGUGUGAUGACGAGGCACUACGGUGCUGAAGUAACAAAUGCCCUGCUUCCAGGAAAAGCCUCUAAGCAUCAGGUAACAUCAAAUCGUACCCCAAACCGACACAGGUGGUCAGGUAGAGAAUACCAAGGCGCUUGAGAGAACUCGGGUGAAGGAACUAGGCAAAAUGGUGCCGUAACUUCGGGAGAAGGCACGCUGGUGUGUAGGUGAAGUCCCUGCGGAUGGAGCUGAGACCAGUCGAAGAUACCAGCUGGCUGCAACUGUUUAUUAAAAACACAGCACUGUGCAAACACGAAAGUGGACGUAUACGGUGUGACGCCUGCCCGGUGCCGGAAGGUUAAUUGAUGGGGUUAUCCGUAAGGAGAAGCUCUUGAUCGAAGCCCCGGUAAACGGCGGCCGUAACUAUAACGGUCCUAAGGUAGCGAAAUUCCUUGUCGGGUAAGUUCCGACCUGCACGAAUGGCGUAAUGAUGGCCAGGCUGUCUCCACCCGAGACUCAGUGAAAUUGAACUCGCUGUGAAGAUGCAGUGUACCCGCGGCAAGACGGAAAGACCCCGUGAACCUUUACUAUAGCUUGACACUGAACAUUGAGCCUUGAUGUGUAGGAUAGGUGGGAGGCUUUGAAGCGUGGACGCCAGUCUGCGUGGAGCCAACCUUGAAAUACCACCCUUUAAUGUUUGAUGUUCUAACGUUGGCCCCUUACCGGGGUUGCGGACAGUGUCUGGUGGGUAGUUUGACUGGGGCGGUCUCCUCCCAAAGCGUAACGGAGGAGCACGAAGGUUAGCUAAUCCUGGUCGGACAUCAGGAGGUUAGUGCAAUGGCAUAAGCUAGCUUGACUGCGAGCGUGACGGCGCGAGCAGGUGCGAAAGCAGGUCAUAGUGAUCCGGUGGUUCUGAAUGGAAGGGCCAUCGCUCAACGGAUAAAAGGUACUCCGGGGAUAACAGGCUGAUACCGCCCAAGAGUUCAUAUCGACGGCGGUGUUUGGCACCUCGAUGUCGGCUCAUCACAUCCUGGGGCUGAAGUAGGUCCCAAGGGUAUGGCUGUUCGCCAUUUAAAGUGGUACGCGAGCUGGGUUUAGAACGUCGUGAGACAGUUCGGUCCCUAUCUGCCGUGGGCGCUGGAGAAUUGAGGGGGGCUGCUCCUAGUACGAGAGGACCGGAGUGGACGCAUCACUGGUGUUCGGGUUGUCAUGCCAAUGGCACUGCCCGGUAGCUAAAUGCGGAAGAGAUAAGUGCUGAAAGCAUCUAAGCACGAAACUUGCCCCGAGAUGAGUUCUCCCUGAGACUUUAAGUCUCCUGAAGGAACGUUGAAGACGAUGACGUUGAUAGGCCGGGUGUGUAAGCGCAGCGAUGCGUUGAGCUAACCGGUACUAAUGAACCGUGAGGCUUAACCUU